GAUGAACGCUGGCGGCGUGCCUAAUGCAUGCAAGUCGAGCGAACAGACGAGGAGCUUGCUCCUCUGACGUUAGCGGCGGACGGGUGAGUAACACGUGGAUAACCUACCUAUAAGACUGGGAUAACUUCGGGAAACCGGAGCUAAUACCGGAUAAUAUAUUGAACCGCAUGGUUCAAUAGUGAAAGACGGUUUUGCUGUCACUUAUAGAUGGAUCCGCGCCGCAUUAGCUAGUUGGUAAGGUAACGGCUUACCAAGGCAACGAUGCGUAGCCGACCGGAGAGGGUGAUCGGCCACACUGGAACGGAGACACGGUCCAGACUCCUACGGGAGGCAGCAGGAGGGGAGCUUCCGCGAUCGGCGAAAGCUUGACGGAGCAACGCCGCGUGAGUGAUGAAGGGCGUCGGAUCGUAAAACUCUGUUAUUAGGGAAGAAAAAAUGUGUAAGUAACUAUGCACGUCUUGGCGGUACCUGAGCAGAAAGCCACGGCUAACUACGGGC
rnacentral:rRNA from 1 species